GAUGAACGCUGGCGGCGUGCCUAAUACAUGCAUGUCGAGCGAACAGACGAGGAGCUUGCUCCUCUGAUGUUAGCGGCGGACGGGUGAGUAACACGUGGAUAACCUACCUAUAAGACUGGGAUAACUUCGGGAAACCGGAGCUAAUACCGGAUAACAUGUUGAACCGCAUGGUUCAACAGUGAAAGACGGGCUUGCUGUGACUUAUAGAUGGAUCCGCGCCGCAUUAGCUAGUUGGUAAGGUAACGGCUUACCAAGGCAACGAUGCGUAGCCGACCUGAGAGGGUGAUCGGCCACACUGGAAGUGAGACACGGUCCAGACUCCUACGGGAGGCAGCAGUAGCGAAUCUUCCGCAAUGGGCGAAAGCCUGACGGAGCAACGCCGCGUGAGUGAAGAAGGUCUUCGGAUCGUAAAACUCUGUUAUUAGGGAAGAACAAAUGUGUAAGUAACUAUGCACGUCUUGACGGUACCUAAUCAGAAAGCCACGGCUAACUACGUG
rnacentral:rRNA from 1 species